UUACAAGAGCUUUGGCAUAGCUAUUUUUUUCCCCAUUCCUUUCUAUAGUAUGAGUAAGUUCUUUUGCUUUUGCAGCAGCGAACAAACUACCAGCCAUUCAGCGUUUACUGUGUCACGCCUCUAUACCAGGAGCAUGUGUCAUCCCAUUUCGUAGCCAGAACAACUUGGCGAAACAGGGACCGUUAGUUCUUUUUUAUAGAUGAGGAAACUGAGGCUUAGAGAGGUUAAUAUACUGUUACUGCACAAGUGCAGGGAGCCACAGUUCUGCUUUGGGGCUCUUUUCCCAUCAUCCUCUGCUGCCUGGCUCAGGGCCUCACCCUGAUUUUGUGCUGCUGGUUUUCUGACCUACUCGGUGCAGUGCCAGCUCUCCUCACAUAGCUUCCUUCCUAUUACUGGGGUCCCAGAAUUCCUGGGGGUCCCAGAAUCACACAGCAGCAAUAAUUAACAAAAACUACAAUGUCCCAUUGUGCUGGCUUUUAUGUCUAAGCUACUUGUAAGCAGAUAGGUUUGACUUUUAAGACUUUCUUUUGGGGAGUUUCCAUCGUGGCUCAGCGGUUAAUGAACCCGACUAGCAUCCAUGAGGAUGCGGGUUUGAUCCCUGGCCUCUCUCAGUGGGUUAAGGGUCCGGUGUUGCCAUGAGCUAGGAUGUAGGUUGCAGACGCAGCUCGGAUCUGGUGUUGCUGUGGCUGUGGUGUAAGCUGGUGGCUGUGGCUCCGAUUUGACCCCUAGACUGGGAACCUCCAUAUGCCACAGGACUAAAUGACAGGUGCAGGUGCCAUGCUCCAAGGGCCUGGACUGCAAGUCACAGAUGAGGUUCCAGCUUCAUCAUGCUGGUGACUGCCCAGCAGUGGUACAUAAAUCUCCUCCCCUCCCUGCAUAGCUGCAUUUCCUCAGCGCAACCCCAGGGCUCAGGUGCUCCCUAACCAUCCUUCCUGCCACUGUCUGAGCUCCUAUGAUGGAGCAGAGUUGUGGAAUGUACUGGGAGGGAUGCAGGCUUUGGUUUAGGAAGCCCUGAGCAUGAAUCCCAGCUCCUGGACCUCCCAGCUCUGUGACCUCAUCUGCUAACCUCUCUGAUACUCAUUGUCCAUGUCUAUGAAGAGGGCAAGGAUGACAGGAGCCCAUGUGGACAAGGUCUGUUUCCUUCCCUCGGUCUCUGACUCCUGAGUGCUUUGACUGGGGAUUUGCAGGUGUUUCUGAGGCAGAAACCCAAAGCGCCUUCCCUAAGUGUGGCGUUCAUCACACCUGCAUCACCCUGAGAUAUUCAACUCUCAGAUUUUUGGAAGCUCCUUUAUGUGGUUGAGAAACUCCUCAAAGGCAGAGUCCAGCCCCUUAAGCUCUGCUGGUGCUUCCGUGAUGGCACCUUCCAUUCUUGCCCCGUCCCUCCUGCAGACAGCAGCUGCAGUGUGAGUCAGUUGCUUAUAUAUAAUUUCUUUUGCAUCUCUCUGCAGAGAAUUCCAUUCAUUUAACCAGUAUUUGCCUCACAUGAGGAAAUGGGAUGCAGAGAAGAAUCAAUUCACAGCCACUGCCCUUAAGAGCUCCUGGGGGAAAAGUGCAAAUAGAUAGUGUGACACAAGGACUGUGCUAUCAGCCUGGAAUGUCCCAGGGUGCCAUGGGAGAAGAGGACUGAGUAGCUCUCUCCUGGGGACCCAGCAGGCAUGAGGUGCCUCUGAACAAAUCUUUUUUUUUUUUUGUCUUUCUGCCUUUUCUAGGGCCUCACCCAUGGCAUAUGGAGGUUCCCAGGCUAGGGGUCUAAUCAGAGCUGUAGCCACCAGCCUACGCUAGAGCCACAGCAACGUGGGAUCCAAGCCGCGUCUGCAACCUACACCACAGCUCACGGCAACGCUGGAUUCUUAACCCACUGAGCAAGGCCAGGGAUCAAACCUGCAACCUCAUGGUUCCUAGUCGGAUUCGUUAACCACUGCACCACGACGGGAACUCCUGAACAAAUCUUAAGAGGUGAGGAGGAGUCCACACUGCAGAAGUCCAGGCAGAGGGGCAGGACAGAGGGAACUUCAGGGUGGAGGCCAGAGCCCUAAGAGGAGGUGACACUGGCUGCCUGCCUGGAGCCGGAACCAAGGGGUGGAGGACCCGCAUUGCCACGUCCUGGUAGUCACCUGCACACUGAUGACCUGAGACCUCUCUCCCAGACCCCCAACUCACAUACCCAUCGCCCACUCCGCAUCCAUCUUUCAGGUGUAAUGGGCAUCCCAGACUCAGCGUAACUAGAAGUCUUAGGCAAACCCUGCCUAGCCCUGCCUAACUCUGUCCCUCCCCAGGCAUGAGGUGACUUUCCCCCACGUUAUGUGGCCCCACCAUUUACCUGGUUACACAGGCCCAAAAUGCAUCACCUUUGACUCUCUUCUUCCCUCGCUCCUCACCUUGUCUGUUUGCAACCUUGACAGCUGUUCCAUCACAGCAUAUCUCGAAAGCCACCACAGGUCCAGAGGUCCCCCAUCUCUCAGCAGGCCUCCCUGCUUCCACUCUGGCCCUGCUGCUAGCACCCUUCCCCACAGUUGGGCAGAAUGACCUUUUAAAAAGUAAAUAAGAUCAUGUCACUGUUCUGCUCAAAUACUCUGGUGGCUUCCUAGCAUCCUGGGAAUAGAAUCUGAACUCCCUGCCCCAUCCUGCCAGCCCCUCCUACUUCUCUGGGCUCACCUCUCAGCACUCUCCUCUUUGCUCACGCCAUUCCAGCCCCCUUUGCUUUCUUGCUCUUCCUCACCUCAGGGCAUUUGCACUUGCUGUUCUCUGCCUGGAUUCCUCUUCCCCAACAUCUCUGCCUGGCAGCCUUCACUCCAUUCCGGUCUGUGUUCACGUCAUCAUUCCUCUAUUUAAAAAGCACUGUCCGACCCGUCCCUUUACCCCAUCACAUUGUCCUCUUACUCUGAUUUAUUUUUCUUUAUUAGCACCUGACUUUAUAUUGUGAACUUACUUGUCUUCUUUAUCAAUUGUCUUACCCUACUAGACUGUACGUCCUUGAGGAGGGGCCCCUGUCUUAUCAGUCUCAUUCACCCCUCUCUCUCCAGGAUCUAAAACAAGGCCUGGCACCCAGUAGGUGAUCAUCACACAUUAAACUGGUGAUGAAAAAAAAAAAUAAGUGAAUGAAUGCAAGUUAAGACUUUGGUGUUGAUUCUGUGGGCAGUGCCAAUCUAGUAGACAUCUUUUAGGAGGUGAGUGACGUGGUCAGCACUUUUAUUUUAGAAAGCCAGCUGGUGGCAGUGUGGAGGCUGGACUUGUAGGAGGAGGCAGCAGAACUAGUUAGAGGCAGUGAAAAUGGUCCAGGAAAUUGAUGCCGAGCCUUAUGUAGAGCUGUGGGGUUGGAGAAGAGGGGCCCAAUGGCAGGCUGCGAAGACCUUUGAGCAUCUUUGGUUGCUAUUGGAACAACUUGAGAUAGCAAUUCUUUUAAAAGAAAAACAGGAGGGGAUGAGCUGGUAUGGGGAGAGACUGGUGACACCCCAUGAUGUUUUCCUCCCCAAGCAAAUGUCAGCCCCCGGAUGCAUGUCCCCUGCAGUGCGUUUAUUUCUCUGAGGUGUGACUCUGCUGCUCCUAGACUCCCAGUUCAGUCUUUCGGUAAGAAAGGAGUCAAGAUGGUAUCAGUGUGUCUGAUUCUUCAUCCUGUAGGUGGGUCCCUGAUCUUACACACCACAAGCCACACUAAGUCACUGAUUCCUCCUUACAAUGGGUACCUUUCUUCAUAUUUAACUCCAAAGGAGACUCACUCUGACAAAUUCUGCUUUCUCCUUUUUUUUUUUUUCCCCCUAAAGAAUGGCUAGGCUCUGCUCAAAUCUCAGAUGGGGUUUACUGAUAAGCUGGGGGUCCAGCAUCUCCCUUAUCACAAGCAUGCACAGGAGCCCUUGUCCUCGCUUGGGUGUCCCCAGCUUCCUAGCCCAGGCAUAGCCAUGUGGUCUGGCACUGCUUCUUGAGAACUUUCUUCUAAAGCUUGAAUCACUCCUUUCUCCCCGGCUCCCCAACCCUCCCCAAGUUUUGAUGCAAAGCCUUUCAUCUCUGAGCAAACACUUUCUUACCCAUCUUGCUGGGGUGUGCCCUUUCUGUCCCUAAGGGAGAGUAGGCCAUCCCAGGCUCUGAAGCCUUGGUCCAAAGUUCCUAAUCCCAUUUGCUGAGCCCUGUGAGGUGCAAAGCUGCACCAGCUGUAUAGCCAGAUGUCCACCUCCCACGGUUCCCUCUCUCCUCCAAAGGUCCAGGCGUCAUGGGAGUGACAUCAAUAGCUACCCUGUAGGGCUUCCUGUGUGCCGGGUACUGGGUUAAGCCCUUCACAUGCAUUGCGUCUAAUCCUCCCCACCCUGCAGGGAUGGUAUUAUGAUCCUGUUCACAGAUGAGGGAGCCGAGGCACUGAAGUGAAGCUUAGGAGUUAAGAGCCUGGGCUGAGAGUCAAGUGGACCCAGGUUUGAAUCCCACCUAGCUGUGGGCCUUACUCUUGUGAAUUAAGAUGCUACUUAAUCCUCUUUUUCUAGAUCUAGAAAAUGGAGAUAACAUAGAGGGUGUUCAUAGGGUUGCUGCAAAAAUUAAAUGAAAUAAAAUGUUAUUUUAUAAGUAUGUAAGUACUUGUUUAGUAAAUACUAGAUUUUGUGCUGUCAGUAAAUGAUAGCUCAUUGUAGAUACUGUUUCUUUUCUUUUUUUGUCUUUUGCAUUUUUUAGGGCUGCAUCUGCUGCACAGGGAGGUUCCCAGGCUAGGGGUCCACUUGGAGCUGUAGUUGCCGGCCUAUACCACAGCCACAGCAAUGCCAGAUCCAAACUGCAUCUGCAGCGUAUACCACAGCUCACGGCCACACUGGGUCCUUAACCCAUGGAGUGAGGCCAGGGAUCGAACCUGCUUCCUCAUGGACCCUAGUCAGAUUCCUUUCCACCGAGCCAUGAUGGGAGCUCCUCAUUGUAGAUACUGUUCAUCAUUAGCACCAUCCUCAGCAGCAUUAUCCCCAUCCUGAGGCUCUAUGACUCCUAAGUAGAUAGAGCCAGGAUUUGAACCUAGCCCUGCCUGGCUCCAAAGCCCACAUUCUUCCUCCUGCCUGGAUGCUCUCCAAUUCAUCUUGCCUAAGACUUUCUGGUCCCUAAGUUUGCCUUCUUGGUCUUUUCUGGGUGUGCCAUUUGUUCCCAUCUGGGCAGUGGGCUCAAGCUAAGGUUCAGCGAUUCCUUGGUCUCUUCCAGCCAAUGACCUCUUUACAGUCAUUGACUGAGCAGUCCCCAGUGACUGGGCUGUUUUGGCAAGAGCUUGACAGUUUUCCCUGAUUGCCAAUGUCAUCUUGCCUACUGUGACAGCCAGGAGGUGUGUGGGGGGGUGCUUCCUGUUGUCUAUAUCAGCAGGAUUAUCCAAAGAAAACAGGAGUGCACCGGAAAGGGCUGGUGUGUGUCCCUGUCUUGUGGGGGACUCACUUUGUGAAUGUGGUGACAUUUAUGGAGUCUUUCUCCAGGAAAAUGCACAUG
rnacentral:lncRNA from 1 species